rnacentral:rRNA from 1 species
AGCUAAUACUUGUUUUAUUACUCUCGACGAAUGUCUUGAGUAGGUACUUGUUAGCCUUCAUAAGAAAAAAGUUAAUAACUUAAGGAAUUAUAACAAAGAAGAGACACACAACAAAGAUUCAUCCCAAAGCAGUGUGUAUCAAUCGAGUUUCUGACCUAUCAGCUUUUGAUGUUAGGGUAUUGGCCUAACAUGGCUAUGACGGGUAACGGGGAAUUAGAGUUCGAUUCCGGAGAGGGAGCCUGAGAAAUAGCUACCACAUCUAAGGAAGGCAGCAGGCGCGUAAAUUACCCAAUUCUAAAGAAGAGAGGUAGUGACAAGAAAUAACAAUACAAGGCCAAUCUGGCUUUGUAAUUGGAAUGAUGGGAAUUUAAAACCUUCCCAAAACUCAAUUGGAGGGCAAGUCUGGUGCCAGCAGCCGCGGUAAUUCCAGCUCCAAUAGCGUAUAUUAAAAUUGUUGCAGUUAAAACGCUCGUAGUUGAAUUUCAAAGAAUCGAUAUUUUAAGUAACGCUUUUAGCUUAAUCCACAUAACUGAUACUACGUAUCGACUUUGUGCGCAUUUUGCUAUUAUGUGUUCUUUUAAUUAAAAUGAUUCUUUUUAAGGUCUUUCUUUUGCUCCGGCAUUUGAAGAUCUUGUUACUUUGAGUAAAUUAGAGUGUUCAAAGCAAACAGAUAUAGCAUUGCGCGUUUGAAUACUACAGCAUGGAAUAACAAAAUUGAACAAGUCAGAAUUUUGUUCUUUUUUCUUAUUUUGGCUUAGUUACGAUUAAUAGGAGUAGCUUGGGGGCAUUUGUAUUCAGAUGUCAGAGGUGAAAUUCUUAGAUUUUCUGGAGACAAACAACUGCGAAAGCAUUUGCCUAAAAUACUUCCAUUAAUCAAGAACGAAAGUUAAGGGAGUGAAGACGAUCAGAUACCGUCGUAAUCUUAACCAUAAACUAUGCCGACUAGGCUUUGGAUGAAAGAUUUUAAAAUAAGAGUUUUUCUCUUCGGAGUUAAACUCUUAGAUUGCUUCCUUCAGUGCCUUAUGAGAAAUCAAAGUCUUUGGGUUCUGGGGCGAGUAUUCGCGCAAGCGAGAAAGUUAAAAGAAUUGACGGAAGGGCACCACCAGGCGUGGAGCUUGCGGCUUAAUUUGACUCAACACGGGAAAACUCACUAGUUUAAGACAAGAGUAGGAUUGACAGAUUAAUAGCUCUUUCUUGAUUUCUUGGAUGGUGAUGCAUGGCCGUUUUUAGUUCGUGAAUAUGAUUUGUCUGGUUAAUUCCGAUAACGAACGAGAUCUUAACCUGCUAAUUAGCGGCAAAUACGAUAUAUUCUUAUGUGGGAUUGAAUACGGUUGAUUUGCUUAUUUUGAAGAAAAUAUUGGGAUGCGUAAAGUGUCCCUUUCCCUUUUCUACUUAAUUCGCUUAUCAUACUGUUUCUUUUUUGCGUAAGAAUGUAUUUGCUUGAUUGUAAAGCUUCUUAGAGGAACGAUGUGUGUCUAACACAAG